rnacentral:rRNA from 1 species
AUACGGAGGAUCCGAGCGUUAUCCGGAUUUAUUGGGUUUAAAGGGUGCGCAGGCGGCCAUUUAAGUCAGCGGUUAAAUCGUGGGGCUCAACCCCAUUCUGCCGUUGAUACUGGGUGGCUUGAUUGCGGUCGAGGUUGGCGGAAUUCGUUGUGUAGCGGUGAAAUGCGUAGAUAUGAUGAAGAACACCGAUUGCGUAGGCAGCUGACCAGACCGCAAAUGACGCUCAUGCACGAAAGUGCGGGGAUCGAACAGGAUUAGAUACCCUGGUAGUCCGCACAGUAAACGAUGAAUACUUGUUUUCGGCGAUAUAAUGUCGGAGGCAAAGCGAAAGCGAUAAGUAUUCCACCUGGGGAGUACGCCGGCAACGGUGAAACUCAAAUGAAUUGACGGGG